GAUGAACGCUGGCGGCGUGCCUAAUACAUGCAAGUCGAGCGAACGGACGAGAUGCUUGCUUUUCUGAUGUUAGCGGCGGACGGGUGAGUAACACGUGGAUAACCUACCUAUAAGACUGGGAUAACUUCGGGAAACCGGAGCUAAUACCGGAUAAUAUUUUGAACCGCAUGGUUCAAAAGUGAAAGACGGUCUUGCUGUCACUUAUAGAUGGAUCCGCGCUGCAUUAGCUAGUUGGUAAGGUAACGGCUUACCAAGGCAACGAUGCAUAGCCGACCUGAGAGGGUGAUCGGCCACACUGGAACUGAGACACGGUCCAGACUCCUACGGGAGGCAGCAGUAGGGAAUCUUCCGCAAUGGGCGAAAGCCUGACGGAGCAACGCCGCGUGAGUGAUGAAGGUCUUCGGAUCGUAAAACUCUGUUAUUAGGGAAGAACAUAUGUGUAAGUAACUGUGCACAUCUUGACGGUACCUAAUCAGAAAGCCACGGCUAACUACGUG
rnacentral:rRNA from 1 species